GUCAUCGCAACCUUUUUUUUGUGUGUGCGAUCUUUUCAUGGUCACAUGCUGUAAAGGUAGCGUAUAUCGAAUCAAGACGAAAUGGGCAUCCUUUUCGGACCAAAUAUAUGAUGAUUGGAAAUCAUUUUGUCUACAAAAUGUUUGAUGUUUUUAAUUAUAUUAUGUUUACUUCUUUGAGCUAGUUACGAAUUUUGAGAACUCAGUUAAGAGUUUUCAGAGUAAUAAAUUUUUGUUUGGUAAUAGUUUGCAAAUGAGAAUGAUUAUAAAUUGUAUUUGAAAAAGCUU